CCAGGGCCAGGGGGCUUUGGGUGACUCUGCUGCUGUCCCCAGCACAGCAGCCAGGCUGGGAACAAGGCAGAUUUUUCUGGCUGCCCCAAAAGCUGCAGAUUUUACUGGCUACCCCAAA